rnacentral:rRNA from 1 species
UUUGGUGGCGAUGGCGGAGGGGUUCCACACGUACCCAUCCCGAACACGACCGUUAAGCCCUCUAGCGCCGAUGGUACUUGGCC